rnacentral:rRNA from 1 species
GAGUAAUGUCUGGGAAACUGCCUGAUGGAGGGGGGAGUAACUACUGGAAACGGUAGCUAAUACCGCAUAACGUCGCAAGACCAAAGAGGGGGACCUUCGGGCCUCUUGCUAUCAGAUGUGCCCAGAUGGGAUUAGCUAGUAGGUGGGGUAACGGCUCACCUAGGCGACGAUCCCUAGCUGGUCUGAGAGGAUGACCAGCCACACUGGAACUGAGACACGGUCCAGACUCCUACGGGAGGCAGCAUG